UACGUAGGGUGCAAGCGUUGUCCGGAAUUAUUGGGCGUAAAGAGCUCGUAGGCGGUUUGUUGCGUCGGCUGUGAAAACCCGGGGCUCAACUCCGGGCCUGCAGCCGAUACGGGCAGACUAGAGUUCGGCAGGGGAGACUGGAAUUCCUGGUGUAGCGGUGAAAUGCGCAGAUAUCAGGAGGAACACCUGUGGCGAAAGCGGCUCACUGGACCAUAACUGACGCUGAGGCACGAAAGCUAGGGGAGCAAACAGG
rnacentral:rRNA from 1 species